rnacentral:rRNA from 1 species
CUAACCGUGCGAAGGUAGCAUAAUCACCUGUUCUUUAAAUCAGGACUAGUAUGAAUGGCCCCACGAGAGCUACCCUGUCUCCCCCCUCCAAUCAGUGAAACUGAUCUCCCCGUGAAGAAGCGAGGAUAUUUUUAUAAGACGAGAAGACCCCAUGGAACUUUAAACUAGUACCACCUCUCCCCAUGAGACCUCAUGACUACUAGUCUUUCGGCUGGGGCGACCACGGAAGAAAAUAAAACUCCCGAGAUGAAAGGAAACAUCCUUAUCCCAGAACUACUAUUCUAAGAAUCAAAAAUGACACAUUGACCCAACACUUGACCAACGAACCAAGCUACCCUGGGGCUAACAGCGCAAUCCAUUUCAAGAGACCCUAUCGACAAAUGGGCUUACGACCUCGAUGUUGGAUCAGGAGGCCCUAGUGGUGCAGCCGCUACUAAAGGUUCGUUUGUUCAACGAUUAAAACCCUACGUGAUCU